rfam:Danio rerio chromosome 4, GRCz11 reference primary assembly.
GUCUCUGUGGCGUAAACGGUUAGCGCAUUCGGCUGUUAACUGAAAGGUUGGUGGUUCAAGCCCACCCAGGGACG